rnacentral:lncRNA from 1 species
GGUUGCAGGGGGUUCAUUUAAGCAACACUGAGGAAACCGGGCUUCUGCUCAUUUCACUUCACGGGCAGCACGGAGACUUUUACUGAAGACGGAAAGAAACUACAACGAAAUAUGGUGAUGAAAGGUUUAUUGAUGAUCGGUUUGUUUCUCGUGGUCUUUGAAUUUUCGCGGGGAAAUGUGAUGUCAGGACAAAUAACUGAUUGCGAAAUACAUGGUGGAUUUUGUAUACCUUUCUAUCAAAAUAGUCCAACCUGCGCAGACUAUGGCGCAUUGCCCUACGCAUAUUCGUGUCUUUUAGGAGCAAACUGUUGCCGCUAAGACUGAAACUAAGAUGUGGGACAGGUACACUAAAUUUUGUGUUGUGAGUUUGGGUUCAAGUUGAAAGUAGUUACAGAACAAUGGUCGAAUGUCAUAUAUAGCUAUAUAUAUAUGCACUAUUUAUGGUGUCCUGAAAUUGUAGAAAUAGAUUGGCUGGAACUUUAAUAAAAAUAAC